CAAUCGGUCCUUUUCAGGACCACAAAAUAAUCUAAAAGAGAAGACA
rnacentral:ncRNA from 1 species